GGGGGUAUAGCUCAGUGGCAAAGUGUGUGCUUAGCAUGCACGAGGUCCUGGGUUCAACCCCCGGUACCUCCA
rfam:Camelus ferus unplaced genomic scaffold scaffold310, whole genome shotgun sequence.